rnacentral:rRNA from 1 species
UUAAUGAGGCGAACCGGGGGAACUGAAACAUCUAAGUACCCCGAGGAAAAGAAAUCAACCGAGAUUCCCCCAGUAGCGGCGAGCGAACGGGGAGGAGCCCAGAGCCUGAAUCAGUGUGUGUGUUAGUGGAAGCGUCUGGAAAGGCGUGCGAUACAGGGUGACAGCCCCGUACACAAAAAUGCACAUAUUGUGAGCUCGAUGAGUAGGGCGGGACACGUGGUAUCCUGUCUGAAUAUGGGGGGACCAUCCUCCAAGGCUAAAUACUCCUGACUGACCGAUAGUGAACCAGUACCGUGAGGGAAAGGCGAAAAGAACCCCGGCGAGGGGAGUGAAAAAGAACCUGAAACCGUGUACGUACAAGCAGUGGGAGCCUCUUAAUGGGGUGACUGCGUACCUUUUGUAUAAUGGGUCAGCGACUUAUAUUCUGUAGCAAGGUUAACCGAAUAGGGGAGCCGAAGGGAAACCGAGUCUUAACUGGGCGUUAAGUUGCAGGGUAUAGACCCGAAACCCGGUGAUCUAGCCAUGGGCAGGUUGAAGGUUGGGUAACACUAACUGGAGGACCGAACCGACUAAUGUUGAAAAAUUAGCGGAUGACUUGUGGCUGGGGGUGAAAGGCCAAUCAAACCGGGAGAUAGCUGGUUCUCCCCGAAAGCUAUUUAGGUAGCGCCUCGUGAAUUCAUCUCCGGGGGUAGAGCACUGUUUCGGCAAGGGGGUCAUCCCGACUUACCAACCCGAUGCAAACUGCGAAUACCGGAGAAUGUUAUCACGGGAGACACACGGCGGGUGCUAACGUCCGUCGUGAAGAGGGAAACAACCCAGACCGCCAGCUAAGGUCCCAAAGUCAUGGUUAAGUGGGAAACGAUGUGGGAAGGCCCAGACAGCCAGGAUGUUGGCUUAGAAGCAGCCAUCAUUUAAAGAAAGCGUAAUAGCUCACUGGUCGAGUCGGCCUGCGCGGAAGAUGUAACGGGGCUAAACCAUGCACCGAAGCUGCGGCAGCGACACUAUGUGUUGUUGGGUAGGGGAGCGUUCUGUAAGCCUGUGAAGGUGGCCUGUGAGGGUUGCUGGAGGUAUCAGAAGUGCGAAUGCUGACAUAAGUAACGAUAAAGCGGGUGAAAAGCCCGCUCGCCGGAAGACCAAGGGUUCCUGUCCAACGUUAAUCGGGGCAGGGUGAGUCGACCCCUAAGGCGAGGCCGAAAGGCGUAGUCGAUGGGAAACAGGUUAAUAUUCCUGUACUUGGUGUUACUGCGAAGGGGGGACGGAGAAGGCUAUGUUGGCCGGGCGACGGUUGUCCCGGUUUAAGCGUGUAGGCUGGUUUUCCAGGCAAAUCCGGAAAACCAAGGCUGAGGCGUGAUGACGAAGCACUACGGUGCUGAAGCGACAAAUGCCCUGCUUCCAGGAAAAGCCUCUAAGCAUCAGGUAACAUCAAAUCGUACCCCAAACCGACACAGGUGGUCAGGUAGAGAAUACCAAGGCGCUUGAGAGAACUCGGGUGAAGGAACUAGGCAAAAUGGUGCCGUAACUUCGGGAGAAGGCACGCUGAUAUGUAGGUGAAGCGACUUGCUCGUGGAGCUGAAAUCAGUCGAAGAUACCAGCUGGCUGCAACUGUUUAUUAAAAACACAGCACUGUGCAAACACGAAAGUGGACGUAUACGGUGUGACGCCUGCCCGGUGCCGGAAGGUUAAUUGAUGGGGUUAGCGGUAACGCGAAGCUCUUGAUCGAAGCCCCGGUAAACGGCGGCCGUAACUAUAACGGUCCUAAGGUAGCGAAAUUCCUUGUCGGGUAAGUUCCGACCUGCACGAAUGGCGUAAUGAUGGCCAGGCUGUCUCCACCCGAGACUCAGUGAAAUUGAACUCGCUGUGAAGAUGCAGUGUACCCGCGGCAAGACGGAAAGACCCCGUGAACCUUUACUAUAGCUUGACACUGAACAUUGAGCCUUGAUGUGUAGGAUAGGUGGGAGGCUUUGAAGUGUGGACGCCAGUCUGCAUGGAGCCGACCUUGAAAUACCACCCUUUAAUGUUUGAUGUUCUAACGUUGGCCCGUAAUCCGGGUUGCGGACAGUGUCUGGUGGGUAGUUUGACUGGGGCGGUCUCCUCCUAAAGAGUAACGGAGGAGCACGAAGGUUGGCUAAUCCUGGUCGGACAUCAGGAGGUUAGUGCAAUGGCAUAAGCCAGCUUGACUGCGAGCGUGACGGCGCGAGCAGGUGCGAAAGCAGGUCAUAGUGAUCCGGUGGUUCUGAAUGGAAGGGCCAUCGCUCAACGGAUAAAAGGUACUCCGGGGAUAACAGGCUGAUACCGCCCAAGAGUUCAUAUCGACGGCGGUGUUUGGCACCUCGAUGUCGGCUCAUCACAUCCUGGGGCUGAAGUAGGUCCCAAGGGUAUGGCUGUUCGCCAUUUAAAGUGGUACGCGAGCUGGGUUUAGAACGUCGUGAGACAGUUCGGUCCCUAUCUGCCGUGGGCGCUGGAGAACUGAGGGGGGCUGCUCCUAGUACGAGAGGACCGGAGUGGACGCAUCACUGGUGUUCGGGUUGUCAUGCCAAUGGCACUGCCCGGUAGCUAAAUGCGGAAGAGAUAAGUGCUGAAAGCAUCUAAGCACGAAACUUGCCCCGAGAUGAGUUCUCCCUGAGACUUAGAGUCUCCUGAAGGAACGUUGAAGACGACGACGUUGAUAGGCCGGGUGUGUAAGCGCAGCGAUGCGUUGAGCUAACCGGUACUAAUGAACCGUGAGGCUUAACCUU